rnacentral:rRNA from 1 species
GACGUAGGGCGCGAGCGUUGUCCGGAUUUAUUGGGCGUAAAGAGCUCGUAGGCGGCUUGUCGCGUCGGCUGUGAAAACCCGCGGCUCAACUGUGGGCUUGCAGCUGAUACGGGCGGGCUGGAGUUCGGUAGGGGAGACUGGAAUUCCUGGUGUAGCGGUGAAAUGCGCAGAUAUCAGGAGGAACACCAAUGGCGAAGGCAGCUCGCUGGAGCGGUACUGACGCUGAGGCGCGAAAGCGUGGGGAGCGAACAGG